UACGAAGGGGGCGAGCGUUGUUCGGAAUUACUGGGCGUAAAGGGCGCGUAGGCGGCCGAUCAAGUUAGAUGUGAAAGUCCUGGGCUUAACCUGGGGACUGCAUUUGAUACUGAUUGGCUUGAAUUCGGGAGAGGAUAGCGGAAUUCCCAGUGUAGAGGUGAAAUUCGUAGAUAUUGGGAAGAACACCGGUGGCGAAGGCGGCUAUCUGGACAAUUGCUGACGCUCAGGCACGAAAGCGUGGGGAGCAAAAGGG
rnacentral:rRNA from 1 species